rnacentral:tRNA from 1 species
GGGCAGAUAGCUCAGUUGGUAGAGCGUUCCUCCGGGAUAAGGUCUCGAGUUUGACCCUCAGUCGGCCCA